CAAGUACUCCCUCCAUCCGAAAUUACUUGUCAUCAAAAUGGAUGUGUCUAGAACUAAAAUACAUCUAGAUACGUCCAUUUCAAUGACAAGUAUUUUCGGACAGAGGGAGUACAAG
rfam:Triticum aestivum genome assembly, contig: Triticum_aestivum_CS42_TGACv1_scaffold_404313_5BL